rfam:Dipodomys ordii contig_14964, whole genome shotgun sequence.
GGUGGUGGCUCAGGUGGUAGAGCACCUGCCUUGCAAGCACAAAUCCUUGGGGUCAAAUCCAAGUGCCACCA